AUACUUACCUAACAGAGGUGACACCAUGAUCAUGAAGAUGGUUUUCCCAGGGUGAGGCUUACCGAUUCCACUCUGGAUGUUCUGGCCCCUGUGAUUUCCCCCAAACUUGGGAAACUCAGCUGUAUACUUUAUGGUAAUGGGAAACUGUUUUCAUUCCCC